UACGAAGGGGGCUAGCGUUGCUCGGAAUUACUGGGCGUAAAGCGCACGUAGGCGGUCUUUUAAGUCGUGGGUGAAAUCCUGGAGCUCAACUCCAGAACUGCCUUCGAUACUGGAAGACUUGAGUCCGGGAGAGGUGAGUGGAACUGCGAGUGUAGAGGUGAAAUUCGUAGAUAUUCGCAAGAACACCAGUGGCGAAGGCGGCUCACUGGCCCGGUACUGACGCUGAGGUGCGAAAGCGUGAGGAGCAAACAGG
rnacentral:rRNA from 1 species